rnacentral:rRNA from 4 species
CGGGACCUCAGGUCAGGCGG